UACGGGGGGGGGCAAGCGUUGUUCGGAAUUACUGGGCGUAAAGGGCUCGUAGGCGGCCAACUAAGUCGGACGUGAAAUCCCGAGGCUCAACCUCGGGUCUGCAGUCGAUACGAGCAAACUAGAGUGUUGCAGGGGAGACUGGAAUUCCUGGUGUAGCGGUGAAAUGCGCAGAUAUCAGGAGGAACACCGGUGGCGAAGGCGGGUCUCUGGGCAACAACUGACGCUGAGGAGCGAAAGCGUGGGGAGCGAACAGG
rnacentral:rRNA from 1 species